AUGGGGGCCGGUCACAGCGCCGGGCGUCGAAAUUCCGACGCCGAUGCCGACGCCGGAGCAGGCAGCGAGGACCGCCUCAGCGCGCUUCCAGACGACGUGCUGGUCAGCAUCCUCCUCAAGCUCCGCGACGCCGCGGCCGCCGCCCGGACCAGCAUCCUCGCCCGCUGGUGGCGCUGCCUCUGGCCCCUCCUCCCGGAGCUCGCCUUCGCCGACGGCAUCAAGCACCACCGCAUAGUCCCCGCCCUCGCCGCCCACGAAGCGCUGGACCUCCGCGACAUCCAGAUUGCCACCCGAGAGGCCUCUGUGGAGUACCUGGCGGUCUGGCUCCCCAUCGCCGCGCGCCGCCUCUCCGGCUCCAUGUACCUCAAGGUGGUGUGGCACGAGGGCGAGGCCGCCGAGGUCCGGGCGGCGCUGGAGCCCGAACAGAGAGGGGCCAUUCUGCUUCCUUGCUUCCAGCGAGCCACCUCCGUCGUACUCGAGUUCUCCUUCCUCCGCCUUGUCCUGCCGCCUUCCGGGGUGUUCGCCCGGCUCCAAAUCCUCAUGCUGGUCGGCAUCCUCGUGUACGGCCAGUGCAGCCUCGGCGACGCCGUCUCCUCCCCGCGGUGCCCAUGCUUAAAGGUUCUCUUCGUCCAGAGCGCCCGUGGUCUCGGCAGCUUCAGGAUCCACUCCGUCCCUCCUGCAGCUGCAGCUGUCGGAUUUGCGUGA
rnacentral:rRNA from 1 species